rnacentral:rRNA from 1 species
GUCCGAGUUGUAGUCUGGAGAAGCGUUUUCCGCGCUGGACCGUGUAUAAGUCUCUUGGAAUAGAGCGUCAUAGAGGGUGAGAAUCCCGUCUUUGACACGGACUACCAGUGCUUUGUGAUGCGCUCUCAAAGAGUCGAGUUGUUUGGGAAUGCAGCUCAAAAUGGGUGGUAAAUUCCAUCUAAAGCUAAAUAUUGGCGAGAGACCGAUAGCGAACAAGUACCGUGAGGGAAAAGAUGAAAAGCACUUUGGAAAGAGAGUUAAACAGUACGUGAAAUUGCUGAAAGGGAAACGCUUGAAGUCAGUCGCGUUGGUCAGAACUCAACCUAGUCUCGGCUUGGUGUAUUUUCUGCUCAACGGGCCAGCAUCAAUUUUGAUCAUUGGAAAAAGGCCGGAGGAAUGUGGCAUCUUCGGGUGUGUUAUAGCCUCUGGUUGCAUACAAUGGUUGGGAUUGAGGAUCUCAGCAUGCCUUUAUGGUCGGGGUUCGCCCACGUUCAUGCUUAGGAUGCUGGCGUAAUGGCUUUAAACGACCCGUCUUGAAACACGGACCAAGGAGUCUAACAUGCCUGCGAGUGUUUGGGUUGGGAAAACCCGAGCGCGUAAUGAAAAGUGAUAGUUGGGAUCCCUGUCGUGGGGGAGCACCGACGCCCGGACCAGACCUUUUGUGACGGAUCCGCGGUAGAGCAUGUAUGUUGGGACCCGAAAGAUGGUGAACUAUGCCUGAAUAGGGUGAAGCCAGAGGAAA